GCUGGAUGUGGUGGUACAUGCCUGUAAGUCCCAGCUACUCAGGAGGCUGAGGUGGGAGGAUGACUUGAGCUCAGGAAUUCUUGGCUUUAGUGUAUGCUUUGGGUGCUAUCAGGUGUCAGCAUAAGUUCCACAUCAAUAUGGUGACCACGUAGGAGCGGAGACCACCAGGUUACCUAAGGAGGGGUGAAUCAGCCCACGUCAGAAACGGAGCAGGUCAAAAACUCCCCGCCGAUCAGUAGUGGUAUCACAUCUGUGAAUAGCCACUGCACUCCAGCCUGGGCAAAAUAGUGAGACCCUGUCUCUA
ensembl:misc_RNA Metazoa_SRP Metazoan signal recognition particle RNA